UACGGAGGGUGCAAGCGUUAUCCGGAUUCACUGGGUUUAAAGGGUGCGUAGGCGGAUAGGUAAGUCCGUGGUGAAAUCCUGCAGCUUAACUGCAGAACUGCCGUGGAUACUAUCUAUCUUGAAUGUCGUGGAGGUUAGCGGAAUAUGUCAUGUAGCGGUGAAAUGCUUAGAUAUGACAUAGAACACCCAUUGCGAAGGCAGCUUACUACCCGAAUAUUGACACUGAGGCACGAAAGCGUGGGGAUCAAACAGG
rnacentral:rRNA from 1 species